UACAGAGGGUGCGAGCGUUGUCCGGAAUCAUUGGGUUUAAAGGGUCCGCAGGCGGAUUUAUAAGUCAGUGGUGAAAGCCCGUCGCUCAACGACGGAACUGCCAUUGAUACUGUAAGUCUUGAAUUCGGUCGAAGUGGGCGGAAUAUGACAUGUAGCGGUGAAAUGCUUAGAUAUGUCAUAGAACACCGAUAGCGAAGGCAGCUCACUAGGCCUGGAUUGACGCUCAGGGACGAAAGCGUGGGGAGCAAACAGG
rnacentral:rRNA from 1 species